rnacentral:rRNA from 1 species
UCAGGAUGAACGCUAGCUACAGGCUUAACACAUGCAAGUCGAGGGGCAGCAUAACGAAAGCUUGCUUUGUUGAUGGCGACCGGCGCACGGGUGAGUAACGCGUAUCCAACCUUCCCCAUAGUAGAGGAUAGCCCGGCGAAAGUCGGAUUAAUACUCUAGUGUUGUAUUUUUGAGGACAUCUGACGAAUACCAAAGAUUGAUCGCUAUGGGAUGGGGAUGCGUCUGAUUAGCUUGUUGGCGGGGUAACGGCCCACCAAGGCGACGAUCAGUAGGGGUUCUGAGAGGAAGGUCCCCCGCAUUGGUACUGAGACACGGACCAAACUCCUACGGGAGGCAGCAGUGAGGAAUAUUGGUCAAUGGACGAGAGUCUGAACCAGCCAAGUAGCGUGCAGGAUGACUGCCCUAUGGGUUGUAAACUGCUUUUAUGCGGGAAUUAAAGUCAGGUACGCGUACCUGUUUGUAUGUACCGCAUGAAUAAAGGACCGGCUAAUUCCGUGCCAGCCGCAGC